GUGCCGGAUACAAAGUAGAAAACCAACAAAGCAGGGUGAAAGUUACAACAGUGCCUAACAGAUGAGAUAACACAGGCAACUAAUGCAGAGUCAAAAGGACAUAGACUAAUCUCAAGAGUGCCCUGAAUGAAUGAAAAUUCUACCUGCUAAUAAACCUCAUGACCAAUGGUACUGGAUCCUGCAGAGGACAUGAGGGGAAGAGGUCUAUCUGCAGCCUCCAUGUGACACCUGAG